rnacentral:tRNA from 1 species
GCUCCUUUAGCUCAGUGGUAGAGCGCCACCCUUGUAAGGUUUUAAUACCCUUUAAAGGUGGCGGUCACGCGUUCGACCCGCGUAGGGAGCU